ACCUAACAGCUAGCCUAUAAUCAAAUUUCAACACAACUAUAUUAAUAGCCCUUAACAUCCUAGAUAAUUAUUAAUCAAACCAUUUUUCCUCCUAAGUAUAGGCGAUAGAAAAGGAACAUUUUUAGAGCUAUAGAAAAAGUACCGCAAGGGAACGCUGAAAAAGUUAAUGAAAAAAUCCAGUAAAGUAAUAAAAAGCAGAGAUAAUUCCUCGUACCUUUUGCAUCAUGAUUUAGCAAGUCUAUAUUAAGCAAAAAGAAUUCUAGUUUAACUUCCCGAAAUUAAGUGAGCUACUCCAAGACAGCCUUAAAAUAGGGCCAACACAUCUCUGUAGCAAAAGAGUGUGAAGAGCUUCGAGUAGAGGUGAUAAACCUACCGAACUUAAUGAUAGCUGGUUGCCUAAAAAAUGAAUAUAAGUUCAGCCUUUAUUUUUCUUAAUCUUCCUAUGGAUAUAUCUUCAUAAAUACACAAAGAAAAAUAAAGAGUUAUUCAAAAGAGGAACAGCUCCUAUGAAAUAAGAAACAACUUUACAAGAAGGAUAAUGAUCAUAAUUUAUUAAGGUAUAUGUUUUAGUGGGCCUAAAGGCAGCCAUCUAAAAAAAUAGCGUUAAAGCUUACACAUUUCUCAACCAAUAAUAACGAAAACUAUAUCAUAUUCCUCUAAAUUUAUUAGGCUAUUCUAUCUAAUAGAAGAAAUUAUGCUAAUAUGAGUAAUAAGAGGUCCUACCUCUCCUAGGCAUAAGUGUAUCUCGGAACGGAAAAUUCCACCGAAAAUUAAUCGAACCCAAUAAAAGAGGGCAUUGAAAUAGAAAGAGAUAACUAGAAAACAUUUCAAACUAAACCGUUAACCCUACACUGGUAUGCAAAUAUUGAAAGGAAAGAUUAAAAGAAAAAGAAGGAACUCGGCAAACUUUUUAAGCCUCGCCUGUUUACCAAAAACAUCGCCUCUUGAAUAUUAAAUAUAAGAGGUCCCGCCUGCCCUGUGACUUAAUGUUUAACGGCCGCGGUAUUUUGACCGUGCAAAGGUAGCGCAAUCAAUUGUCUUUUAAAUGAAGGCCUGUAUGAAUGGCAUAACGAGGGCUUAACUGUCUCCUUUUUCUAAUCAAUGAAAUUGAUCUUCCCGUGCAGAAGCGGGAAUUUUUACAUAAGACGAGAAGACCCUAUGGAGCUUACAAACGCAAGAACAGAUUAAUCCUACUAAAUCUAGAAUAACUAAAUUUAUUAAACCAAUUAACUACUGCUCAAGUGUUUUUGGUUGGGGCGACCACGGAGUAAAAUUUAACCUCCACGCAGAAUGAAAAUAUCAUUUUUCAAUUUAAGGAAAACAACCCUAAAACCCAGAAUUUCUGACUUUUAUUGAUCCGGCAAAGCCGAUUAACGAACCGAGUUACCCUAGGGAUAACAGCGCAAUCCUCUUUUAGAGUUCCUAUCGACAAGGGGGUUUACGACCUCGAUGUUGGACCAGGACAUCCUAUUGGUGCAGCCGCUAUUAAGGGUUCGUUUGUUCAACGAUUAAAGUCCUACGUGAUCUGAGUUCAGACCGGAGCAAUCCAGGUCAGUUUCUAUCUAUGAUAUGUUCCUCUCUAGUACGAAAGGACCGAGAAGAAAAGGCCUCUACUUAAAGUAAGCCUUUCUCCUAUUUAAUGAAAACAACUAAAUUAAAUAAAGGGGCAUACCCUUUGAAAGCUUAGAUAACGCUGU
rnacentral:rRNA from 1 species